rnacentral:rRNA from 1 species
GAUGAACGCUGGCGGCGUGCCUAAUACAUGCAAGUCGAGCGAACAGACGAGGAGCUUGCUCCUCUGACGUUAGCGGCGGACGGGUGAGUAACACGUGGAUAACCUACCUAUAAGACUGGGAUAACUUCGGGAAACCGGAGCUAAUACCGGAUAAUAUCUUUAACCGCAUGGUUCAAUAGUGAAAGACGGUUUUGCUGUCACUUAUAGAUGUAUCCGCGCCGCAUUAGCUAGUUGGUAAGGUAACGGCUUACCAAGGCAACGAUGCGUAGCCGACCUGAGAGGGUGAUCGGCCACACUGGAAAUGAGACAAGGUCCAGACUCCUACGGGAGGCAGCAGUAGGGAAUCUUCCGCAAUGGGCGAAAGACUGACGGAGCAACGACGCGUGAGUGAUGAAGGUCUUCGGAUCGUAAAACUCUGUUAUUAGGGAAGAACAAAUGUGUAAGUAACUAUGCACGUCUUGACGGUACCUAAUCAGAAAGCCACGGCUAACUACGUG